rnacentral:rRNA from 1 species
GAGGAAUAUUGGUCAAUGGGGGCAACCCUGAACCAGCCAAGUCGCGUGAAGGAUGAAGGUCUUAUGGAUUGUAAACUUCUUUUACACGGGAAUAAAGCGGGGGACGUGUCCCUCUUUGCAUGUACCGUGUGAAUAAGGAUCGGCUAACUCCGUGCCAGCAGCCGCGGUAAUACGUAGGCAGCAAGCGUUGUCCGGAGUUACGGGGCGUAAAGAGUGCGUAGGCGGUUUUCUAAGUUCGGUGUGAAAUCUCCCGGCUUAACUGGGAGGGUGCGCCGAAGACUGGGAAGCUGGAGUGUGGGAAAGGCAGGCGGAAUUCCUGGUGUAGCGGUGAAAUGCGUAGAUAUCAGGAGGAACACCGGCGGUGUAGACGGCUUGCUAGACCAUAACUGACGCUGAGGCACGAAAGCGUGGGUAGCAAACA